AUGAACGCUAGCGAUAGGCUUAACACAUGCAAGUCGAGGGGCAGCAUGGUCUUAGCUUGCUAAGACUGAUGGCGACCGGCGCACGGGUGCGUAACGCGUAUGCAACUUGCCUCACAGAGGGGGAUAACCCGUCGAAAGACGGACUAAUACCGCGUACACUCCAUCUUGGGCAUCCAAGGUAGAGGAAAUGAAAUUCGCUGUGAGAUAGGCAUGCGUCCCAUUAGCUAGUUGGUGAGGUAACGGCUCACCAAGGCGACGAUGGGUAGGGGAGCUGAGAGGUUGAACCCCCACACUGGUACUGAGACACGGACCAGACUCCUACGGGAGGCAGCAGUGAGGAAGAUUGGUCAAUGGGCGAGAGCCUGAACCAGCCAAGUCGCGUGAAGGAUGACUGUCUUAUGGAUUGUAAACUUCUUUUAUACGGGAAUAACAAGAGUCACGUGUGACUCCCUGCAUGUACCGUAUGAAUAAGCAUCGGCUAACUCCGUG
rnacentral:rRNA from 1 species